UCAAAGCUAAAGUGAUAUUGUUUAUAUAAAAAGGCGGGAGCUGGAGGCUGAGGGGGGAGGCCUGAGGGUGGAGGCUGAGGCCUAGGGUGGAGGCUGAAGCCUGAGGCCCAGGGUGGAGGCCGAAGCCUGAGGCCUAAAGUGGAGGCUGAGGCCUGAGGCCUGGGAUUGGAGGCUGAAGCCUGAGGCCUGGGAUUGGAGGCCGAGGCCUAGAGUGGAGGCCAAAGCCUAAGGCCUAGAGUGGAGGCUGAAGCCUGAGGCCUGGGAGUGGAGGCUGAGGCCUAGGGUGGAGGCCGAAGCCUGAGGCCUAGAGUGGAGGCCGAAGCCUGAGGCCUAGAAGUGGAGGCUGAAGCCUGAGGCCUGGGAUUGGAGGCCGAAGCCUGAGGCCUAGAGUGGAGGCCGAAGCCUGAGGCCUAGAGUGGAGGCCAAAGCCUGAGGCCUGGGAUUGGAGGCCGAGGCCCAGGUGGAGGCCGAGACGUCGGAGGCCCAGGAUUCGAGGCCCAGGCGUUGGGAUGAAACCUCAGCCAGGUGGUGGAGUUGGGGGGGGUCAGG